UUACUGUUCCCUCUGUCCGGAAAUACUUGUCGGAAAAAAUGGAUGUAUUUAAACAUAUUUUAGUUCUAGACAUAUCCAUUUUUAUCCAUUUCCGCAACAAGUAAUUUCGGACGGAGGCAGGAGGAG
rnacentral:pre_miRNA from 1 species